rnacentral:rRNA from 1 species
AGAGUUUGAUCCUGGCUCAGGACGAACGCUGGCGGCGUGCUUAACACAUGCAAGUCGAACGAUGAAGCCUAGCUUGCUAGGUGGAUUAGUGGCGAACGGGUGAGUAAUACGUGAGUGACCUACCUUUGACUCUGGGAUAAGCCUGGGAAACUGGGUCUAAUACCGGAUACGACCAAUCUCCGCAUGGGGUGUUGGUGGAAAGCGUUAUGGAGUGGUUUUAGAUGGGCUCACGGCCUAUCAGCUUGUUGGUGAGGUAAUGGCUUACCAAGGCGACGACGGGUAGCCGGCCUGAGAGGGUGACCGGCCACACUGGGACUGAGACACGGCCCAGACUCCUACGGGAGGCAGCAGUGGGGAAUAUUGCACAAUGGGCGCAAGCCUGAUGCAGCGACGCCGCGUGAGGGAUGACGGCCUUCGGGUUGUAAACCUCUGUUAGCAUCGAAGAAGCGAAAGUGACGGUAGGUGCAGAGAAAGCGCCGGCUAACUACGUGCCAGCAGCCGCGGUAAUACGUAGGGCGCGAGCGUUGUCCGGAAUUAUUGGGCGUAAAGAGCUUGUAGGCGGUUUGUCGCGUCUGCUGUGAAAGGCCGGAGCUUAACUCCGUGUAUUGCAGUGGGUACGGGCAGACUAGAGUGCAGUAGGGGAGACUGGAACUCCUGGUGUAGCGGUGGAAUGCGCAGAUAUCAGGAAGAACACCGAUGGCGAAGGCAGGUCUCUGGGCUGUAACUGACGCUGAGAAGCGAAAGCAUGGGGAGCGAACAGGAUUAGAUACCCUGGUAGUCCAUGCCGUAAACGUUGGGCACUAGGUGUGGGGGACAUUCCACGUUUUCCGCGCCGUAGCUAACGCAUUAAGUGCCCCGCCUGGGGAGUACGGCCGCAAGGCUAAAACUCAAAGGAAUUGAC